GUUUCCCUACUCCUAUCUCCUUUUACGUUAUUAAUCGCGCUGCCCUUCCCUUCUUUUGUUGUUUGCCACCAUUAAGGAAUCAAAAGGCUCUUUGUGAUGUGCAGACGCAGGAAGACAUCAGCUUCUCGGUGAUAUACAUGCAGAUGGAGAGAGAAAAGCCAAAAAAAACAUGAAGGAAAGCUUCCUGUUCAUCCCUGUAAGGACUUUUCAGCACUUAUGUGUCGGGAAAGACUGGGAAUCAAAGAGGAGGAUGUUUAAUAUCUGGCAGAAGCUACACAACCCGUCUGCCGCCGCUCCUACAUGUCCCCUUCGUGACUGCAUUCGGAGACAAAGGACCGCUUUCUCUUUUUGGAGAAAAAAACAGAGUGACACAUAGCUGACAACGACUGUGCAUGCUUGCCAGUAGCAGUAGUGCUGCUGUCAGUGUCCGACAAGGAUGCAGUCGAGAUGCAGUGGAGUUUGACACAAGUGACUUUUUUCAGCAAGAAGACAAGAGCCGGAACAAUGACUCGAAAUGGACUUUUCAAAAGACCAAUGUCCCUUUUUCAUGGACUCGUGAGCGUCAAUAGGUGGACAGGUCAAAGGUCAGCAAGGUCAGCAUGAACACAAUGGCCUCAAAGCUGAAUUUGUUCUCGAUGCUCACAUGAUCAGCAAGUGUACCUUGAGCACUAUCAGUGUGCCUUUUAAUUACAACUCUCGCAACAGGCUAUGCAGAAAUGUUCCAAAUUUUAGAACCAGCUUUCUGUAUGAUGCAUUUGUAAAUGAUCUCAAACUCACAAAAACUAUCCAUCCAUUUCCUGUACUUUUUAUGCCGUUUUAGGACAUAGGGAACCCUAAACUGGUUGCCUGCCAAUCCCAGGCAACCCUUUUACACCGUCACUGAGUAGGAACUGAACUGAACUUAGCCUGCGAGUCAACCACUAAACCGUGAGUGACUCCGUUUUCAAUAUUAAUGAUUGAAUGACUGAUGGGAUCGGAGUGAAUUGCAGAAAUAGAACACACUGCAAGUCGUAUAAAAAGCCUUCUUUACAUGCAAGAAUCAGGGAGAAAUAAUAUUGUCCUUGCCUGCUCAAGUUUGUUGAAGAAACUUAACAGUUUCCAGUUUUUAUUGUUCGUUGAUUAUGGAAUAUUAGUAAAUACACAAUAUGAAAGUGAUGAAAUGUUGGGAAUUUUAUUGAGUUAACUAAGCAUUUGAUUCUCUACAAGUCAACCAGAAUUCUGGCUCCCAAGAGAGUGGCUGGUGUCCAUGUGAAACACAGCUGUGCGCCAUCUUGCUGAGAUGAGUUGCAAAAGCCUCAGCAAAAGACUCCAUGGGAAGGUGAAAACUGUUGCGUCACAAAAUGACCUCGAUCGGUCUGGGGUCUGGAGCUCCUUGAUCUUGUCUUAUGGAGCGAGGAGGGUCGUGAGAAAGAUAGGAGAGUAGCCUCAAAGUACAUGCAGGAACGUGUUGAAUGGACCUCAGCCGCUGAUCAGGGACUGAAAUCUUCAAUUAGGUCCCCUUGCUCAAGCAGGCUCCUAGGAGGCAUUAUGACUCAGAGAAGUCUUGGAAGACAAUGCAGGCAUCAAGGGGGGAAAGAAUGGCAACUAGCAGUUUGGAGACGUGCUGCCGAGAUGCCCUCCAGCAAGGCAUCGUCACCACCAGUCAAGCUCCAUUGGUUAGCGCUUUUGGGGACAUCUUUCACUCUGAAGCGCUCCUUCUAUUGCAGUAUCCAUCCAUCUGAAACGAGGAGGGUUUUUUGGGUGUGGGUGCUGAGGGUGUGCGACUUUGCAGAGAAGCUAACCCUUCCUGACCGUUGACAGAUACGACGUGUGACGUGGGACGUAGUAGGCAGCGUCGUCACCGAGGUGGCCUGAUGAUAUGAUUCAGCACACGCCAGCAGCUAUUUCUGUACUGUUUGUCUGUACUGGACUAAAUAAAUGAGACUGUCAUUUCGGAAGAGAUAGCUUAAGUCUGCACAAAGUUGACCUUUUCAUUUUGUUUCCUUAGUGAAAGACGGUGACUUGAAACAAUAAACACCUCUAUCUCCAAAUAAAUACAUUUCAUGAUUACUUGUGUUUUAACUAACGGUCUUGUGUCAACCGUCGAGACCUUCAAGUUCUUGGGAAUUACAGUCUCACGGGACCUGAAGUGGGAGACGAACAUCAACUCCAUCCUCAAAAAAGCCCAGCAAUGAAUAUACUUCUUGCGGCUUCUGAGGAAACACGGCCUGUGGCGCGAGCUGCUGAGACAGUUAUGCACAGCAGUCAACCAAUCAGUACGGUGUACCUCCACUAAGGGGCUGCCACAAAAAAGGAUAAACUCCAACUGCUACGGACAAUCAAAAUAGCUGAACGGAUUAUCGGCACCACGCUACCCACUAUUGAGGACUUGCACGCAACGCGAACUAGGUCAAGAGUGAGCAGGAUGCUUACAGACCCUCCACAUCCUAGCCACCAGCUCUUCCAGCUCCUUCUGUUGACUAUGUGCUACAGAUCAAUGCAAGUCAAAACUAGCAGGCAUUUGAACAGUUUUUUCCAUCUGGCAAUUAAGUCAUUUAACUCUUGAUCAGCGAAGCUACGAGUUUCUGCCUUGUGCCCUUGUUGGGACACACCCUCAGAUCCUGCUCGUCAAAUCCGUAUUAGCAUUAGUAAUAUAUUCUUUAGACUAUCGCACGAUUCAUCACUUUAAACUGCUCCCUUUGCACAAUUGUCAUUGCACUGGUUUAUAACUGGAACCACGAACGUGUAAGGGCACGCUGUACAUUAGCUUAACAUAAUGUGGAGCACUGACUGACUCUUAACUGUUCCAAAUGAAGAAGACUGUGCAUCUUGUACAUCUGUAACUGAAUGUCUCGUCUUUGUUCUUAUUAGUGUGUUUGUUCCUUGUUCUGAAUGUCGUACCAGGGCAGCACCGACUUGCUGGAGACAAAUUUCAUGUGUGUUGUUACAUACUUGGCCAUUAAAGCUGAUUCAGAUUGGGGUUUUAUGAGCAUGUAUCUGUAGCCAGGAAUCUUCACCGAGUCUAAAAACAAAAUAAAAAAAAAAUAAAAUAAAAUAACUAACCCCCCCCCCACACACACACACACACACAAUUAUCUCAAGCCGUAACAAAGGGCUUAGCAUUCACCUGCAGUCACUAAAUAAGCUGUUGACUGAUCCCAUUUACGAGUGUUCAAAACCGAGUUGAAAGUGUUAACAGUAUUGUGUUAACAGGAAGGAGGUUGGAGAUAAGAUACGAGGCAAUCCUUAAGCAGCAGCACUCCCAAAGACAAACACAGCGGAGUUUAUUCUUCUCUAUCCAACUCAGAUUUGUUUUGUUGCGGUGGCAUUGUUCGACGGGCCAGCAAGGGGGUGUGGGCUCUUUGAAAAGAAAAGAAAAAAAACGCCAGUAUUUACAUUGUGCUUUCCAAGAACCAAAAUGUAUUUUCCUCAACAUGAUGUAGGAUGUUUAGAAUGACAAAAAAAGAAAAAAAAUGUCUUGUCAGUUUGCCAUGUUGUGAGGAAUUGUGGGGAUAGUUUUCUUUUGCAUUUGUUGAGCUGGAUCUGACCUAUCCAGACCAUUGGGUUACGUACGUGCAUGUGUGCAUUGUAUGUGAUAUUGGAGGUGCAGUGAACACAUGCUUUUUUUUGAGGGGGGGGGGGGUGGACUGGACCAGAUUGUGACGAGCAACAUUUCACAGAUAAUACACACCCAUGCCAAAUGCUUCCAAAAACACAUUUUUACAGAAGCAAGGAUAAAUCACCAAAGAGCAUUUUUGGGGGUUGCUUAUCCCCAAAAAAGUAAAAAAGAGAGACAUUAAAAAGAUUAUGAAAUGAGUGAAUUGGUGAAUCCGUGGGUGCAGAACCACAAGUAUGCUGGGGUCCACUGUUUACCCUAACUGCCAAACAUCUGAAGGAUAACAAGACAAAUGAUCAUAAAUUCACAUAAAUUACCAAAUUUGCUUUCCAAAAUCUCUCUACGAUGUAAUCUUUGUUUUUUUUCCCCUCCAGACUUAUUUUUGAUCAAAGAACAAAUUACAAACACUGACCAAAAUACAUCACCUAAACAAAUGGGACGAUCUGUGCAGUGCCUGUGGAAUUUAACAACCGAGUAAACAUUUAUUUAUAAAAGUGCGUCCAUAAGCGAGCCAGCCUCUGCUCAAUAAAUGCCUCAGCCAUGAUACGAUCACGUGGGCUGGGCAAAGAUCCGAGCAACGUUCAAGCGAUGACCGGAGUGUCGUUUGGUGUAGUGUGUUGUAUGAAUUGCUGUCUCCACGAGUUCAAAUACUUCAUUGUUCUGAUUGGUUUUCCCU